rnacentral:rRNA from 1 species
UACGGGGGGGCAAGCGUUGUUCGGAAUUACUGGGCGUAAAGCGUGCGCAGGCGGCUUUGCAAGACAGAUGUGAAAUCCCCGGGCUUAACCUGGGAACUGCAUUUGUGACUGCAUGGCUAGAGUGCGGCAGAGGGGGAUGGAAUUCCGCGUGUAGCAGUGAAAUGCGUAGAUAUGCGGAGGAACACCGAUGGCGAAGGGCAAUCCCCUGGGCCUGCACUGACGCUCAUGCACGAAAGCGUGGGGGAGCAAAC